GGCGACUGAGCUAAGGCCCGCGGCAAUCGUGAUUGCGGCCGCUGUGGCCGCGGCGCGAAGACGGCGGGCAUGGUGGGGCGGCCGAAGGAGCUCUCCAUCCACUUUGAUCCUGGAAGCUGCCGGCUAGCGGAGGAGGAAGUUAACAUCCCUAAUAGACGGGUUACAGUUACUGGUGCCACUGGGCUUCUGGGCAGAGCUGUAUUCAAGGAAUUUCAGCAGAAUAAUUGGCAUGCUGUUGGCUGUGGUUUUCGAAGAGCAAGACCAAAAUUUGAACAGGUUAAGCUAUUGGAUUCUAAUGCGGUUCAUCACAUUGUUUAUGAUUUUCAGCCCCAUGUCAUAGUACAUUGUGCAGCAGAGAGAAGACCAGAUGUUGUAGAAAAUCAGCCAGAUGCUGCUUCUCAACUUAAUGUGGAUGCUUCUGGGGAUUUAGCUAAGGAAGCAGCUGCAAUUGGAGCAGUUCUCAUCUGCAUUAGCUCAGAUCAUGUAUCUGAUGGAACAAAUCCACCUUAUAGGGAGGAAGACAUACCAAAUCCUCUAAAUUUGUAUGGCAAAACAAAAUUAGAAGGAGAAAAAGCUGUCUUGGAGAACAAUUUAGGAGCUGCUGUUUUGUGGUUUCCUGUUUUGUACGGAGAAGUUGAGAAGCUUGAAGAAAGUGCUGUGACUCUUAUGUUUGAUAAAGUGCAGUUCAGCAACAAGUCAGCAAACAUGGACCACUGGCAGCAGAGGUUUCCCACUCAUGUCAAAGAUGUAAGCUACUGUGUGUCGGCAGCUAGCAGAGAAGAGGAUGCUGGAUCCGUCGAUUCAGGGAACCUUUCACUGGUCUGGCAAUGAAAAAAUGACUAAGUAUGAAAUGGCAUGUGCAAUUGCAGAUGCCGUCAAUCUCCCUAGCAGUCACUUAGGACCUAUUACUGACAGCCCUGUCCUAAGGAGCACAGCGUCCAAGAAAUGCUCAGCUUGAUUGCUCCAAAUUAGAGACUUUGGGCAUUGGCCUGCGAACACCAUCUCGAAUUGGAAUCCAAGAAGCACUUUGGCCUUUUCUCAUUGACAAGAGAUGGAGACAAACAGUCUUUCAUUAGUUUGUUGGCUUUGUUUAUUAUUUUUUUUUUAUUUGUAAUGAAAAGUACAGUAUGCGGCACUUUUUAAAGAAGAAAGGAAAUAGUUUUGUAUGAGUACUCCUUAACUGUGACUCUUAUGAUCUUUCAGGUAAAUGAUGCUCUUGCUCUAGUGAAUCGGUCUAAAGAAAUAAAAGGCAACGUUGCCUUGUUUGCAGUAAUGAUAUUUCUGUUUAUCAUUUUGUUUGUUAUGGCUUAACUCGCAUUUUGAGAAUAAUAAGUUAUGAUUCUUAACUAUUUGAGAACCAGGAUGAAACAGAUCUGCUGUAGACUU